UACGGAGGGGGCUAGCGUUGUUCGGAAUUACUGGGCGUAAAGCACACGUAGGCGGAUUGUUAAGUCAGGGGUGAAAUCCUGGAGCUCAACUCCAGAACUGCCUUUGAUACUGAAGAUCUUGAGUCCGGGAGAGGUGAGUGGAAUUCCCAGUGUAGCGGUGAAAUGCGUAGAUAUUGGGAGGAACACCAGUGGCGAAGGCGGCUCACUGGACCGGAACUGACGCUGAGGCGCGAAAGCGUGGGGAGCAAACAGG
rnacentral:rRNA from 1 species